rnacentral:miRNA from 1 species
GUUGUACUCCCUCCGUUCCUAAAUAUAAGUCUUUUUAGAUAUUCCACUAGGAGACUACAUACGCAUCCGUAUGUAGUCUCCUAGUGGAAUAUCUAAAAAGACUUAUAUUUAGGAACGGAGGGAGUACCAA